AAAGUUAUAAGUUAAAGUAAAACUAUUAUCAUUCAAGGAUAACUAUGAAUACCCCUCUAACUUUG
rnacentral:tRNA from 1 species